rnacentral:rRNA from 1 species
GCGGCAAAUUGACUCGCUAUUCCCAUCAACUAAAACAUAAAACAAAAUAUUUAGUUGAUAAUGUAAGAAGAAAAUAAUGAUAUUAUCUUACGUUUAGUGUCGUCUAAAACUGGUGCCAGAAGACUCGGUAAGGCCGGAGACGCAAACGUUAGUCAUCCUUAUCAGGCGUAAAGGGUUUGUAGGCUGCUUUGAAAGUUUCUAUCUUUUAAAUUAAUUAAAAAAUGGGGCGAAGCUCGGUUAUAACUAAUUCUCUUUAAAAUAUAAUAAAAAUAGAAAUAAAUUAAAGCUAGAAUCUAAUAGAGGUUAUAUUGAAUAAUACUUAGUUUAGGUCUAAUAUCCUAAUAGAUUAAGGGGAAUAUUAAAAGCGAAGGCUUCUCUCCACUAUAGAUUGACGCUGAGAAACGAAGGUGAGGAAAGGAAAUAGGAUUAGAUACCCAAACUACCCCUCACUGUCAACGAUGAAUGGUAGUCAUUAGUGCAUAUUAGUGACGUAGUUAACACAAUUACCAUUCCGCCUUGUUAGUAAGACUGCAAAGUUAAAAACAAAAAAAUUAGUCGGUUUCGGAGUAAACGAAGUGAAGCAUGUUAUUUAAUUCGAUAAAAUCCGCAACAG